UACGUAGGCAGCAAGCGUUGUUCGGAUUUACUGGGCGUAAAGGGUGUGUAGGCGGUUCUUUAAGUUUGGUGUGAAAUCUCCCGGCUCAACUGGGAGGGUGCGCCGAAUACUGAGGGACUAGAGUACGGGAGAGGAAAGUGGAAUUCCUGGUGUAGCGGUGAAAUGCGUAGAUAUCAGGAGGAACACCGGUGGUGUAGACGGCUUUCUGGACCAUAACUGACGCUGAGACACGAAAGCGUGGGUAGCAAACAGG
rnacentral:rRNA from 1 species